rnacentral:rRNA from 1 species
UACGUAGGGUGCAAGCGUUGUCCGGAAUUAUUGGGCGUAAAGAGCUCGUAGGCGGUCUGUCGCGUCGGAUGUGAAAACCCAGGGCUCAACCCUGGGCCUGCAUUCGAUACUGGCAGACUAGAGUUCGGUAGGGGAGACUGGAAUUCCUGGUGUAGCGGUGAAAUGCGCAGAUAUCAGGAGGAACACCGGUGGCGAAGGCGGGUCUCUGGGCCGAAACUGACGCUGAGGAGCGAAAGCGUGGGGAGCAAACAGG